CGGGCGUAGAUUAGGCAUGCAAGUCGAGCGAUGAUUUUUGGAAGAGAUGGCCUUCGCAAGAAGGUUGUCUUGGAAGAAUUUUCAGAGCGGCAGAUUGGUGAGUAACACGUGAGUUAAUUUACCUUUAAGUCGGGGAGUAGCUUCGCGAAAGUGGAGGUAAUACCCGAUGUGUUUACAUGAACGCAGGUUUGUGUAAGUAAAGUUGCUUCGCAAGAGGUGAUGUUUAAAGAUAAGCUCGCGUCCUAUCAGCUAGUUGGUAGGGUAAUGGCCUACCAAGGCUUUUGACAGGUAGCUGGCCUGAGAGGGUGGUCAGCCACAUGGGGACUGAGACACUGCCCCAACUCCUACGGGAGGCUGCAGUCGAGGAUAUUUAGCAAUGGGCGAAAGCCUGACUAUGUGACGCCGCGUGAGGGAUGAAGGUCUUCGGAUUGUAAACCUCUUUCGAUAGGGAAGAAAAUUCCGGUUAACUACUGGAACUGACGGUACCUAGAGAAGAAGCCAUAGCUAACUCUGUG
rnacentral:rRNA from 1 species